rnacentral:misc_RNA from 1 species
UUUUUUUUUUUUUUUUUCCCAAAAAAGUUACGAGAUCAUAAAAGUAAAAUUUCUGAAAUACCCUCAAGUUGAAUCUUUAGCCAGCCAUAAAAAAAAAAUUUUUGCUAAAAGCAUCAACCAACAACAACCACCAUGUGUGGCCAUAGAUAAUUAGUCAUGAAAUUAAGAUAAAUCAGAAACGAAGGAGGAUGUGAAAUUUUCAACUACCAUAGCAGAUCCUUAAUUAACAAAGAAGAAAGCGAACACAAAACUUAGAUCCAUCAAAUUGGUUGAAAUGAACAUGUGAAACUGCAACUACC